AUUCUCUUAACAUCUAUUUAAUGUAUGUACGAAUAAAAUUCUAGAAGCCAAAUAAUUUUUUAAAAUAUUAAUUAUUUUGAGCGCUGCUAUAAUUUUUCUUUUACUUGUAUGUUACAGAUUAAAUCUGCAGAAUCUAAGAGGAUGUAGAAACCAUCGGGAGGCAUCGGCACCUCAGCAGAGGAACCUUUGGAUUUACAGGAUCUGAGAGGAGGAGGAAGCCUGGAUGAGGCAUCUGGCCUCGGCGGAGCAAUCUUGAAUAUCAUCGCAGCUUCGUGGUUGAGUAACUCCGCUGGUUGCGCAUCGGGUCGGUGAGUCAAAAAACAAUUUUUAUUUUCUUAUUUUAAUGCUUAAAUAUCCUGCGCAGGACAAAAGAGGAUAAUGAAAGAAAGAGUUUGGUAAUAACUAUCAAA